rnacentral:pre_miRNA from 1 species
UAUAAUUUUUAACCAUUCGUCUUAUUAAAAAAAUUUGCGAUUGAUAUUUUUGAUUUUAUUAAAUGAUAAAUUAUAAAUAAUAUUUUACGUGUGAUUAAUUUUUUUAAUUUUCUAAAAAAAAUUUAAAUAAAACGGAUGGUCAAACAUUGGAUAUGAAAACCGA